CCAGCUUCCGGCUCCAGUUUCCCUGCCACCUUAAAUAGCCUUUUAAGGUGGAGCGGAAAAAACAGACUGAUGAAUCAGGCGCUUCAGCUCCGGCUAUAAGAGCGUUUUUAACCUUCCCCUUCAGACUCACUCACUUUCAGGACUCAGACACCCGAGUUCGGCUCAAACAGGGCGCUUUAUUACAUAUUAAAUGUGAGGGUUUCAGCUGUAAAGGAUCCGCCCAGCUGUGCGUCACUCUGUGCGUCACUGAAGUGAAAUCGAAAGUAACUCUCAUGCGGGGCGAGGCGGACAGAAAUAAAGGAUAAAAUCUCAGUGAAUCUCAGUCUUCAGUCUCCUACAGGAAAUGUAAAGGAAGGAGCAGAGCUAAAUCAGGAGCUGCAAGCAGAGCUGACCUGCUGAAGUGUCUCAUGUUAAGGCAUCAUCUUCAUCAUGUGUGUUGUCCUGAGGGCAUCAUCGUCAUCAUGUAUGUUGUCUUGAAGACACGAUCUUCAUCAUGUGUGUUGUUCUGAGUCCUUCAUCAUCAUGGGUGUUGUCCUGAGUCCUUCAUCACCAUCAUAUGUGUUGUCUUGAGUCCUUCAUCAUCAUAUGUGUUGUCCUGAGGGCAUCAUCUUCAUCAUGUGUGUUGUCCUGAGUUCAUCAU